AGGAGGAACAGCAGCAGUGGCGGCGGCCAGCUCUGGAGCCCUGGAGUCAGCUCCUGCAGUAACUGCAGAGCUCUCCGUCUGCAGGGCCUGGAGGCUCUGGGGCGGG
rnacentral:pre_miRNA from 1 species